UGCGUAGGCGGCGCUAUAAGUCAGAGGUGAAAGGCCACAGCUUAACUGUGGGACUGCCUUUGAUACUGUAGUGCUUGAAUUAGGUUGAGGUCGGCGGAAUGUGACAUGUAGCGGUGAAAUGCUUAGAUAUGUCAUAGAACACCAAUUGCGAAGGCAGCUGACUAGACCUUAAUUGACGCUGAGGCACGAAAGCGUGGGGAGCGAACAGGAUUAGAUACCCUGGUAGUC
rnacentral:rRNA from 1 species